rnacentral:rRNA from 1 species
UACGGAGGGUGCAAGCGUUAUCCGGAUUCACUGGGUUUAAAGGGUGCGUAGGUGGGCAGGUAAGUCAGUGGUGAAAUCUCCGGGCUUAACCCGGAAACUGCCGUUGAUACUAUUUGUCUUGAAUAUUGUGGAGGUAAGCGGAAUAUGUCAUGUAGCGGUGAAAUGCUUAGAUAUGACAUAGAACACCCAUUGCGAAGGCAGCUCACUACCCGAAUAUUGACUCUGAGGCACGAAAGCGUGGGGAUCAAACAGG